ACGAGGUCAGGAGAUCGAGACCAUCCUGGCUAACACGGUGAAAACCCAUCUCUACUAAAAAUACAAAAAAAAAUUAGCCAGGCGUAGUGGCGGGCGCCUGUAGUCCCAGCAACUCGGGAGGCUGAGGCAGGAGAAUGGCGUGAACCCGGGAGGCGGAGCUUGCAGUAAGCCGAGAUCAUGCCACUGCACUUCAGCCUGGGUGACAUAGAGAGACUCCGUCCCAAAAAAAAAAAAAAUUAGCCGGGC
rnacentral:lncRNA from 1 species